rnacentral:misc_RNA from 1 species
UGAAUUGCGAUAAGUAAUGUGAAUUGCAGCACUUGUGAAUCAUCUAAUCUUUGAACGCACUUUGCGCUUUCCGGGUCUACUGGAAAGCAUACCUGUUUGAGUAUCAGAAACUACUCUCACUAUUGUGUGAGGUAAUGGAGUCUAUUCUGUGCUAUAAUGGAAUACUCUCUAAAAGACAUUGAGUUGAUGUGUCUACAGUGGUCAUGUUGAGCAUCAAGUGUGGUAAGAAAAAGCCUAUUUUUCUCCCGCUGAUUAUGUUCUGUGCAUGAUGUACACUAGACUGUAUAGCUCACUUUAUUAUUCUGUACUCUUGAUCUCAAAUCAGGUAGGAUCACCCGCUGAACUUAA